UACAGAGGUCUCAAGCGUUGUUCGGAUUCAUUGGGCGUAAAGGAUGCGUAGGUGGCGCUGUAAGUCGGGUGUGAAAUUUCGGAGCUUAACUCCGAAACUGCAUUCGAUACUGCGGUGCUUGAGGACUGGAGAGGAGACUGGAAUUCCUGGUGUAGCGGUGAAAUGCGUAGAUAUCUGGAGGAACACCGGUGGCGAAGGCGGCAUCCUGGACCGAUACUGACGCUGAGGAGCGAAAGCCAGGGGAGCAAACGGG
rnacentral:rRNA from 1 species